rnacentral:misc_RNA from 1 species
UUUCCUUCAGCCAGCCAAUCCAAUAUUGAAUCUAAUAAGCCAGUUAGGACUCCUGGACUUUCCGGUGGUGACAUAUUUGUGGCUGAAACUGUUCAACAAUUAGUUUCCAUUCUGAAAGGAGAUUUCAUAGAGCUGGAUGAUAUUGUGGAUUUCAUAGAGCUGAAUGAUUUCAUGGAUUGAUCAUCCAAACAGUGUUGAAAGGAUUAUUUUUGAAAUAUAUGUGGAUAUUAACCCUAAUGCUCAGGGUUAAGUUAUUACCCAAAAUGUUUGAUUCAUGGAAUUUAGAAGUCAUAGGAGUUUAAAUCCCAGCUAGA